AUACGGAGGGUGCGAGCGUUAUCCGGAUUUAUUAGGUUUAAAGGGUGUGUAGGCGGGAGCCUAAGUCAGUGGUGAAAUCUCACAGCUUAACUGUGAAACUGCCAUUGAAACUGGGUUUCUUGAGUAUAGUUGAGGUAGGCGGAAUGUGUAAUGUAGCAGUGAAAUGCAUAGAUAUUACACAGAACACCGAUUGCGAAGGCAGCUUACUAAGCUAUUACUGACGCUGAUGCACGAAAGCGUGGGUAGCGAACAGGAUUAGAAACCCUGGUAGUCC
rnacentral:rRNA from 1 species